rnacentral:rRNA from 1 species
CUACGGGUCGCUCCAGUGAGGAAUAUUGCACAAUGGGGGGAACCCUGAUGCAGCAACGCCGCGUGGAGGAUGACACAUUUCGGUGUGUAAACUCCUUUUAUAUGUCAAGAAAAUGACGGUAGCAUAUGAAUAAGCACCGGCUAACUCCGUGCCAGCAGCCGCGGUAAUACGGAGGGUGCAAGCGUUACUCGGAAUCACUGGGCGUAAAGGACGCGUAGGCGGGUUGGAAAGUCAGGUGUGAAAUCCUACAGCUUAACUGUAGAACUGCACUUGAAACUUCUAAUCUAGAGUAUGGGAGGGGGAGAUGGAAUUAGUGGCGUAGGGGUAAAAUCCGUAGAUAUCACUAGGAAUACCUAAAGCGAAGGCGAUCUCCUGGAACAUUACUGACGCUAAGGCGUGAAAGCGUGGGGAGCAAACAGGAUUAGAUACCCCAGUAGUC